rnacentral:lncRNA from 1 species
GGAGAGAAGAUAUUGACAAGUUUAAGAUAAAGCAAUUCCAUUUCUUAUUCAUCACUAACAUUUGAGUCGAACACCUUAAGCUGAAAGUAAUAGCUUAGUUCUAAAUACACAGGGUAAUAAUUGACGGUGCAGCUAUCCACAUCUCAAGCACCCUUCUUAUCAACAAUUUGGUUUCCUCACAACGAGAACGAGGUGUUCAGAUUCCUGAAUUCAGCGUUUUACAAUCUUCGAAGAAACCUGGGUUGACAAACCAAUAUUAAUCAAUACCCAAAAAACACGUCGGAUGCAUGCACUGUUUACCUUAUAAACAAAAGCUUCUUGGGACAAACUACAAGUAAAAGUUGAAAACUCAGUUUUGUUGAGUAACUUAUAUUAACUUUCCGGCAAAAGGAUUCAUUGUUUUCGGUCACAAUACAAGUUCCACGUAUAAACAACAAAGAAAAAUUGCGGGGACUAUGAUCUUCCUUUUUUCCUUCAUUUUUAAGCUAUUCUCGUGUGUAUCCAGUAAUUUUCCACUUCAAGUGAAGAGGCUAAUUAACUAAGCACAAAUAUUUCUUAAGCAUGUGAGGGCAUUACUGGCAGCAGAAACAUUAAAAGUUAAAGCAGCAAAGCGGAUCCCAAAUAUUUAUCUUUGCUCAUUCAAAUAAGGCAACAGAUAAUUUGACGUUCAUGGAGCCUAGGUAGUAGAGCAACAAUCAAACAUAACGCAAGUUAGCAUGGUUGAGGUCCUUGAGGAAUUACAGCAGAGUACCAACCACUCAGUACUCAGGCACAUUGCGAGUGGCAACCACAUCAAAAUAUGACCAUUCUGUGUUCUAAUGAUUAUUUAACGAACUUCAUAAAUAAAAAUUAACCAUGUGUGGGCAUUUAUGGCAGCAGAAGCAUUACAAGCUUAAGCUGCAAAGUGAAUUCCAACGUCUAUUUUUGCACAUUGAGACUAGGCAACUAACAAUUUGAUGAUCACAGAGCCUUGCUCUGGUGCAAUGUCAAACCUAAUGCUAGUUCACAAGACAGACGAACUACAAACCGCUUACUUAGAUUGCUAGUGUGGCAACUACGUCAAGAACAUUGCUCCAGAACUGAGCUUCGAGCGUGUGAUUUUCUGUUCUAGUGCAGUAAAUGGAUAGAAUAUCCCUUCACAGACAAUAAUGACUGAACAAUGUGUGGGUUUUUACUGGCAGCAGAACACUCGAAAUUUAAGCUGCAAAGCGGCUCCCAACAUCGAUUUUGCACAUUGAAAUUAGGUACCCAAUAAUUCCAUAUGGUCGUGGAGCCUAUUUAAUAGUGCAACAAUCAAACCUAUACCAAUUUACCAUUGAGUUAAAUUGGAUUGGAGAAACAUUCAACAACAACCAAGUCUUAUCCACUAAAUACAGUCGGCUAUAUGAAUCAUAAACCGUUACCAUGCUAGGUUUUACACCAAGUCUUUCAUUAACGUACUCCAUAUUUUUCUUUAUGUCUCUUCAAAACUACAGCUGUAUUCAUUUGAAUAACAUUUAAACAAAUCUUGAAUAGGGUUAGAAAUGCAAAAAAAUUGGAAUGUUUGCUUUAAAUUAAAAUUUUGGGGGCACAAAUAUAUCGAAAUCAAACAAUUAUUCUGCAAAUUCAACAAAGAUUGUAAAUUUAUAGACUGAUAAAACGAUACCUUUGGAAUCUGAAUUUGGGGAAGUAGUCCAAAACCCUAAUUUGAGCCGCCAAGAGGGCAAUGGACUGAGAGAACCGUUGGGUUAUAUAUACAGGGGAAAAUGGUAUUUCUUGCCUUGCCCAUUGAACUUUUAUGCGGUUGCCAAUUUGCUCUCUAAAAUUUAAUUUUAGCUGAUUACCGAUUUGAACUUUUUUUAAUUAACCAUUUUCUUAUUGAACUUUAAUUUUAGCCGAUUACCCCCUAACUUCUAUAAAUAGCCAAUCCCCCCCCCCCCCCCAGUGUUGGAUUUCAAAACUUUCAUUCAGAUUUUCAUCCAUCCAAUUUGUCAUCCUUUUUGCCCUCAACAGUUGUCAUGUGUUGUUUCCAAAUUGGAUGAACAACGUCAAGGAGAAUUGGUUAUUUAUAAAAGUUCAGGGGCAAUUUGCUAAAAUUAAAGUUUAAGGGGAAAUUGGCUAAUUAUAAAUUUUCAAGAGGGUAAUCGGCUAAAAUUAAAAUUCAAGAAGAAAAUUGGCAGCUCCAUACAAGUUCAGG